AAAAAUUAUCAAUGAACCGUUUAUCCAGUUUUGAAAGAACAAACUUCUUUCAAAGAAGUGUAGUGAUGAUGGCAAAGAGGUCACACCCGUUCCCAUGUCGAACACGGAAGUUAAGCUCUUUAGCGCCGAUGGUAGUUGGAGGUUUCCUCCUGUGAGAGUAGGACAUUGCUACGC
rnacentral:rRNA from 1 species